rnacentral:rRNA from 1 species
AGAGUUUGAUCCUGGCUCAGGACGAACGCUGGCGGCGUGCAUAACACAUGCAAGUCAAGGGGGUCAGUAGCAAUACUGGCAACCGGCGAACGGGUGCGUAACACGUGAGCAACCUGCCACCGUGCGGGGCAUAGCCGGUCUAACGACCGGGUAAUUCCGCAUACGACCUUCCGGGGGCAUCUCUGGGAGAGGAAACGCGCAAGCGGCACGGUGAGGGGCUCGCGGCCUAUCAGCUAGUUGGUGAGGUAACGGCUCACCAAGGCGACGACGGGUAGCUGGUCUGAGAGGAUGGCCAGCCACAUUGGGACUGAGAUACGGCCCAGACUCCUACGGGAGGCAGCAGUGGGGAAUCUUGCGCAAUGGCCUAACGGCUGACGCAGCGACGCCGCGUGAGGGAUGAAGCUCCUCGGAGUGUAAACCUCUGUUGCCCGGGACGAAUGGCGGCUUUUGCCGACGUGACGGUACCGGGUGAGGAAGCACCGGCUAACUCCGUGCCAGCAGCCGCGGUAAUACGGGGGGUGCGAGCGUUGUCCGGAAUCACUGGGCGUAAAGGGCGCGUAGGUGGUGUCGUAAGUCUGUGGUGAAAGCCCGGGGCUCAACCCCGGGUCUGCCGCGGAGACUGCGAGACUCGAGGACUGUAGGGGCGGGUAGAAUGCCGGGUGUAGCGGUGGAAUGCGUAGAGAUCCGGCAGAAGACCGGUGGCGAAGGCGGYCCGCUGGGCAGUUACUGACACUGAGGCGCGACAGCGUGGGGAGCAAACAGGAUUAGAUACCCUGGUAGUCC